ACAGCAGCCGCCACGGGAAUACAGAGGGUGCGAGCGUUAAUCGGAUUUACUGGGCGUAAAGCGUGCGUAGGCGGCUUUUUAAGUCGGAUGUGAAAUCCCUGAGCUUAACUUAGGAAUUGCAUUCGAUACUGGGAAGCUAGAGUAUGGGAGAGGAUGGUAGAAUUCCAGGUGUAGCGGUGAAAUGCGUAGAGAUCUGGAGGAAUACCGAUGGCGAAGGCAGCCAUCUGGCCUAAUACUGACGCUGAGGUACGAAAGCAUGGGGAGCAAACAGGAUUAGAUACCCCUGUAGUCCUGUCUCUUUACAC
rnacentral:rRNA from 1 species